UACGUAGGGACCAAGCGUUGUUCGGAUUUACUGGGCGUAAAGGGCGCGUAGGCGGCGUGACAAGUCACUUGUGAAAUCUCCGGGCUUAACUCGGAACGGUCAAGUGAUACUGUUGUGCUAGAGUACAGAAAGGGUAAUCGGAAUUCUCGGUGUAGCGGUGAAAUGCGUAGAUAUCGAGAGGAACACCAGAGGCGAAGGCGGAUUACUAGGCUGAUACUGACGCUGAGGCGCGAAAGCUAGGGUAGCAAACGGG
rnacentral:rRNA from 1 species